GUCCUCAGGCGAAGCUAUUUUUGGAAUUGGGAUGACAUUGGCUUUUUUCCACAUGGUCGGAACAGUCGCUUGUUGGAUGGAAGCAUUAAAAAUUGAUGCAACAGGGGAAGCAAGUACAUAAGCGUAGAACUUGGAAACCCAGUUUGGUAUUCCAUCUGGACCAGGAGAUUUUAGCAGUUGAUAUAAUGGAUAAUUUAUGGUAUACCUCUUCUUCUUUAAUGAUAAACUCUGGUGAAAUGUCAUAAUGGCUGUUUUCUGGUAAAAUGUCGAUAUGAAGACGAUUUAAAGGAGGGAUUUCUUUUGUAACUGAAACAAAAGCGUCAUUAAUAUUUUCGGCCAGGGCUUUUCCUGACAUCACCUGAUUUCCCACGACAAGGGUUGAAAGAACUUUCUUCUUAGGAUAUCCUGAUAACUGUUUUAUUGAUUGCCACCACUUUUUUGGGUUAGGGUUUAGCUUUAACUGCAUGUUCUAACUUUUUCUCAAGAAAUGUGGAUCUGAGCUUCUUACUUUCUCUGUUUACCUGAUUUCGUAACUGCUGAUAAUGUGGACUUUUUCCAUGAUGGAAUGCCUUUUGUCUGGUUCCGAUAAUUUUCUUAAAUUCAGGAGUUACCCAAGGUUUGUCAUUGUCAUGUAAUUUUACAGUUUUUUAUCGGAAGGAAACAAUACAAUGCGGCAUGUAUGAUGUCUAGGAAGAGGUUUAAUUUUUGUUCACAAGAAAUAGUGCGGUAUAAAAUGUUCCAAUUAAAAUCGGUUAACCACUUUCCAAAAGCAGUUUUUGCAGCAUUAAAUCCCUGUCUGAUUUUUACUUUCGUGUGCGCGUUUUUAGUUGAACCUUCCUUAUAUGAGCAUAACACUGAGAUGUGGUUGCUGCGCCCAACGAGUGGGAUUACCAAGGGGAUGUUACAAAAGUCUGACAUGUUUGUCAAAAUUAAAUCCAAAAUAGCAUUCCCUCUCGUAGGUUGUUUAACAAUCUGAUUUAAAGUAAAAUGUCUGAGUAUUGUGGAAACUGGACAUUUGUUAAAAUCCCCAACUAAUAUUAUGCCAGCAUUUGGGUACAUGGAGAGGGCAACAUCAAGCUUUAUGGUAAGGUGUUCGAUUAGUAUUGUUGUCGCUGGAUGGUGGGUGGUAAACCACACAGACAACCAAACAUGAGAAUCCUCGGAACAGUUUGUAAGGUCUCAGGUAAAGCCACAGAGUUUCGAAACAAACAUCUUGCAAACAAGUUAGAAUUUUAAAGGGGAUCUGUGACUUUAUAUAAGCACACACCCCUCCUCCAGUCCUUGAUUUUCUAUCACGACGUAUCAAGGAGUAGCCAUGUAUUUGAACUGCGGCGUCGUCAAUGUUUUCGUUUAGCCAUGUUCUGUGAUAAAAGCCAAGCUGGCAUGAUUUAAUUUAAGAAUAGCAUCUAAUUCAUCAACUUUCGGCAGAAGUGAUCUGACAUUUGGAAGGAAAAAUUAUAGUGGGUUCUUUGGGCAUUUGGGCAACCUAGUCUUCAAUUUUUAUUUUCUUUUAUUAUUUAUUUAAUUUCUUUUAUUUUCAAUUUUUUCAAUUUGGUUCGAUAUAGGAAUUAUCAAAUUUUUCGUUUGUGUAUGCAGGGGUACUGUUUAAACGAUUAUGUAAUUUAAUUUGCCGUCUAGUUGUCCAAAGUGGGAUAUUAUUUGUUCUAGGUAUUUGAUCAGCUACGGCCGGGCCGGUCAGUAUAUGAAAUGCUUUGUCGGUCGUACUGCUCUAUGGAUGCAUGGGGCGCGUCAAACGAUUGACCAGAUUUUCUUGUCUGAUGGGUGGUAAUUGUGGUAAAAGGAAGGGAAACUCCAUCAAUGGUCGGGGGUAAGGAGGGUGAUUGGGGCGUCGUAUGAUUUGACAAGCAUUCGGUUGAAUUGGGAAUAAAAAAGGGCGAUAGUGUUGGUUUCGAUUUAAACUUGGAUGUAGAAAAUCACAAUUGCGCUGGUUUCGUUCAAGGUUUGGGUGAAGGAAGUCGCAAUUUUCGCCUUUGAGACACCAACCCCUUCGUGACAGGAAAGGACAAGGAACGGUAUUUUUGGUUGGUUGGUCGACAUGAUGUUGCCGCGCUUUAGAAUGUGUUUCUACAUUUAUGGUUGGAACGCGAUUUCUCGAGCGUUUAAAUUUUAUCCGACGGAUUGCGAGUUAAACGGUAAUAGCGAGUUAAAUGCCUUUGAUACAACCGGCCCCAGUAGUCAAAAUAGGGCUGUUUGUAAGAAUUCCUGAGGAACACAGGUCUUCAUUCGUUUAAUUACUGCAAUUCCUGCAUUAACUUUCUUAAUAAUCAUAUCAAUAUGGUGUUCCCAGUUUAAUUUUUCGUCGAAAGUGACAGCGAGGCAUUUAUAGAAAUUUACUCUUGGGACAGGAACAUUGUUAAUUAUAAUAUCGGUAUUCCUCGAGGUAUAUUCUUAAUUUUAAAAGAGGGUGCAAUAAACAUACAUUUAGAAUUUGUAGCUUAUAUGAUUCUCCAUCUAUUCGUCAUAAUAUUUAGGUCAUAAUUUAUGUUGUCAAUAAGAUCAUUUACAUUGUGUGAUGACGCGUAAAUUUCCGUGUCAUCAGCAUACAGACCAGGUGUGCUUUUUUGGAGACAUUGUGGCAGGUCAUUGGUGAAGAGCAAAAUAACAACGGCCCCAGGAUCAACCCCUGGGGGACCCUACAUUUUAAUUUUCCAACGGAGGAUAGUAUCCCACUAUAGCAAUACAAUAUAAGGUGUCUGAAAUUCAGACACCCGCGCGCGUAUGGCUCGCAAUAGAAUAUAAA